rnacentral:rRNA from 1 species
ACGGGUGAGUAACACGUGGGUAAUCUACCCUUUGGUGGGGAAUAACUCUGGGAAACUAGAGCUAAUACCGCAUAAUCCCGAGAGGGAAAAGCAGCAAUGCGCCGAAGGAGGAGCCCGCGGCCGAUUAGCUAGUUGGUAGGGUAAAAGCCUACCAAGGCUGAGAUCGGUAGCCGGCCUGAGAGGGCACACGGCCACACUGGCACUGAAACACGGGCCAGACUCCUACGGGAGGCAGCAGUGGGGAAUCUUGCACAAUGGGGGAAACCCUGAUGCAGCGACGCCGCGUGAGCGAUGAAGCCCUUCGGGGUGUAAAGCUCUUUCGGCAGGGAAGAUUAUGACGGUACCUGCAGAAGCAGCUGCGGCUAACUACGUGCCAGCAGCCGCGG